rnacentral:ncRNA from 2 species
ACAAUUCUUCAGGGCAGGGUGAAAUUCCCGAUCGGCGGUAGAGUCCGCGACUCAAACAGCAAAUAUGCUGAAUGACUGAACCGGUUAAAUUCCGGUACCGACAGUAAAGUCUGGAUGGAAGAAGAAUCUG